GAUGAACGCUAGCGAUAGGCCUAACACAUGCAAGUCGAGGGGCAGCACAUGAGGUAGCAAUACCGAUGGUGGCGACCGGCGCACGGGUGAGUAACACGUAUGCAACCUGCCUUCAACAAGGGGAUAACCCGUUGAAAGACGGACUAAUACCCUAUAACACAGGGGUCCCGCAUGGGAAUAUUUGUUAAAGGACAACCGGUUGAAGAUGGGCAUGCGUUCCAUUAGCUAGUUGGCGGGGUAACGGCCCACCAAGGCAACGAUGGAUAGGGGAACUGAGAGGUUUAUCCCCCACACUGGUACUGAGACACGGACCAGACUCCUACGGGAGGCAGCAGUGAGGAAUAUUGGUCAAUGGACGCAAGUCUGAACCAGCCACGUCGCGUGAAGGAAGACGGCCCUACGGGUUGUAAACUUCUUUUAUACGGGAAUAAAGUGCCCCACGCGUGGGGUUUUGCAUGUACCGUAUG
rnacentral:rRNA from 1 species